AGAUCAGAAGGUGAUUGUGG
rnacentral:miRNA from 1 species